GUCCGGGUGGCGGAAUGGCAGACGCGCUAGCUUGAGGUGCUAGUGCCCGAUUAAGGGCGUGGGGGUUCAAGUCCCCCCUCGGACA
rfam:Streptomyces sp. MP131-18 scaf_01, whole genome shotgun sequence.